rnacentral:tRNA from 1 species
GCCGGCGUGGUGGAAUUGGUAUACACAGCAGACUUAAAAUCUGCCGCCAACAGGCUUACCGGUUCGAGUCCGGUCGCCGGCA